rnacentral:rRNA from 1 species
GAUGAACGCUGGCGGCGUGCUUAACACAUGCAAGUCGAACGAAGCACCUUAUUCUGAUUUCUUCGGAAUGAAAAAUUUGGUGACUGAGUGGCGGACGGGUGAGUAACGCGUGGGUAACCUGCCUCAUGCAGGGGGAUAACAGUUAGAAAUGACUGCUAAUACCGCAUAAGACCACAGUACCGCAUGGUACAGGGGUAAAAACGCCGGUGGUAUGAGAUGGACCCGCGUCUGAUUAGGUAGUUGGUGGGGUAACGGCCUACCAAGCAGACGAUCAGUAGCCGACCUGAGAGGGUGACCGUCCACAUUGGAACUGAGACACGGCCCAAACUCCUACGGGAGGCAGCAGUGUGGAAUAUUGCACAAUUGGGGAAACCCUGAUGCAGCGACGCCGCGUGAGCGAUGAAGUAUUUCGGUAUGUAAAGCUCUAUCAGCAGGGAAGAAAAUGACGGUACCUGACUAAGAAGCACCGGCUAAAUACGUGCCAGCCGCCGCAGUAA